GAUUAGAUUAGGGAAUACUGGAUUCUCUUCAAAGUUUAUUCAAUUUGUAGAUUAAGAUUUUGCGAAGGUUGUUUAUUUCGUCUAAUUUGUCUCAAGUUUAGCUCUAUGUUGUGUUUUGUUUAAAUGGUUCGGAGUCCAAUUUCGCUACCGGCGUAACUCUUGAACUGGAGAAAGAUUGGUAACCAUAACGACUGAUUCAACCCCUGAUAACAGCUUCGUGUGAAAAAA